rnacentral:rRNA from 1 species
AAUGAACGUUGGCGGCGUGGAUUAGGCAUGCAAGUCGGACGCCCCGCGAGGGGAGUGGCGCAAGGGUGAGUAAGGCGAUGGUAACCAACCCCGAGGUCGGGCAUAGCCGAGGGAAACCUCGGGUAAUUCCCGGCGACGCAGGACGCUGGCAUCAGCGACCUGCCAAAGGCUUCGGCCGCCGGGGGACGGGCCGUCGUGGUAUUAGGUUGUUGGUGGGGUGACGGCCCACCAAGCCUGCGAUGCCUACCGGGUGUGAGAGCAUGGCCCGGCACACUGGGACUGAGACACUGCCCAGACUCCUACGGGAGGCUGCAGUCGAGAAUCUUCGGCAAUGGGCGCAAGCCUGACCGAGCGACGCCGCGUGGAGGACGAAGGCCUUCGGGUUGUAAACUCCUGUCGAGGGGGAGGAAGGCAUGGCAACAUGCUUGACCGAUCCCUGGAGGAAGCACGGGCUAAGUUCGUGCCAGCAGCCGCAGUAAGAC